CAUGUAGAUAGAUAGCCAAAGAAAGAUAUGGCCGACGCAUGUCUUUAGGACAUUUAUCCAACCCAGUGGAAAAACGAAGGAUUUCAAAAUCAUCGCACCAUCAAAAUGCAGUACCUUGGUGGUCGGAGACUGUAGCGUCAACCGUUCGUUGCUGAUACUUGCGCCGGGACGGCUGCCUCUGAAUUGGGGCUCAAAGUCUAAUUUUUCACUCGGGUUCAAAUUCAGAGCCUUCCAGGAUCAUUACAAUAAUCCAUGUCCAACCUGAGCCCCGACAAUUUGAAGGUCCUUGGUGCAUGAAUCAGCCUCUGGAUCUGCUGCCCCUUCGUCGCUGAUCAUCGUGGACGGACUGGAGGGCUACCUGCGCGGGCCUGGAGUGAGUGGUGGCCUUCAGCAGGCGGAGCAGUCCUCUGCUGCACACGUCUCUGCUCUGCUGUAUAACACGGCUGCAUUUCUCACACAGACCUUGGAAGAGAGAGCCGUAGUCUGGCCCCCUGUCGGGUCAUAGCCUCGUUCCAGUCCGAGUGGGAAGGGCAUGCUGGUGGGGACUCAGACCCUGUCCUCUCAGUGUUAGACCGCUACUUUCAGGUUAGGUGUACUUUGGACCGGGACUGGAACUCUGCCCCUGCUGUAGCAGGACCACAGGACACGUGGCAUGUUUACCUCUCUGGUGUUGGGAUCACAGAAGCCCCUAUUGCUAAGGAUGAGGAGGACUCAAGUCUGGCUCAAGAAUGGCGACUGGUCAUUUGCCCCAAUCGCUCAAUGGAGUUUACAAUGGUUUGAAAUCUAUUAAAUGACUUACUAGUGGACGAGGAAGAAAUAAAAGACAUGCAAAAAAUGUAUAUACUUAUAUCAAACAAUUGCGUUCCCAAAGACAGAUGCAAGGGGAACAGUUUUUUUCCAAUGAACAAAAUGGUUUUCACUAGUGUUUACAAAAGGUUUUCAGCAAGGUUUUUGUGUGAAUUAAACCACUCCUCCGACUGAAUCGUACUGUUCCUGACUGCUCUGGCGCAAUAUAAUUUGAGUCUGUUCUCCUCCCUUGCCCUGUUGUCUUCUCUCGUACACAAUGUGACUUGACAUUCAACCAUUCAACUCUCAUUUACAUUACUUUUCUGUUUAACCGUUGUGCCUGUGGCGCUUUCUAAGAUUAUUUGUAGAGGGAAGAUUAGGCUGAUGCUAUAGCCGGGACAGCAGAGAACAUCACGAAAAGGAUGCACGCGCUUCAAUGGGGCAGAAGGCUGUGUGUUGUUGUCAUUCUGGAUGGCCAGAUAGCUAACAACAAUGACAAGAAACUGCCAUGUAGGGAAUCUUAAGUGGCUCGUUUCAGCUAGUUUUAUCUUGUUCUUGAUACCAUGUCUUGUUUUGACUGAUGUCACGUCUACGCUAAUAUGGCAAACAUUUGCUAGCUAGCUAACCACCAACUGUAACUGUAUUUGAGACAACAAGUGCUCAUUGUACAACCUUUUUAUUUAUGUUUUCAAUAAACAUUGGAGACGAAA